GACGAACGCUGGCGGCGUGCUUAACACAUGCAAGUCGAACGGAAAGGCCCUGCUUUUGUGGGGUGCUCGAGUGGCGAACGGGUGAGUAACACGUGAGUAACCUGCCCUUGACUUUGGGAUAACUUCAGGAAACUGGGGCUAAUACCGGAUAGGAGCUCCUGCUGCAUGGUGGGGGUUGGAAAGUUUCGGCGGUUGGGGAUGGACUCGCAGCUUAUCAGCUUGUUGGUGGGGUAGUGGCUUACCAAGGCUUUGACGGGUAGCCGGCCUGAGAGGGUGACCGGCCACAUUGGGACUGGGAUACGGCCCAGACUCCUACGGGAGGCAGCAGUGGGGAAUAUUGCACAAUGGGCGGAAGCCUGAUGCAGCAACGCCGCGUGCGGGAUGACGGACUUCGGGUUGUAAACCGCUUUCGCCUGUGACGAAGCGUGAGUGACGGUAAUGGGUAAAGAAGCACCGGCUAACUACGUG
rnacentral:rRNA from 1 species